rnacentral:rRNA from 1 species
GGCGAACGCUGGCGGCAGGCUUAACACAUGCAAGUCGAGCGGGCAUCUUCGGAUGUCAGCGGCAGACGGGUGAGUAACACGUGGGAACGUACCCUUCGGUUCGGAACAACUCUGGGAAACUGGAGCUAAUACCGGAUACGCCCUUAUGGGGAAAGGUUUACUGCCGAAGGAUCGGCCCGCGUCUGAUUAGCUAGUUGGUGGGGUAACGGCCUACCAAGGCGACGAUCAGUAGCUGGUCUGAGAGGAUGAUCAGCCACACUGGGACUGAGGCACGGCCCAGACUCCUACGGGAGGCAGCAGUGGGGAAUAUUGGACAAUGGGCGCAAGCCUGAUCCAGCCAUGCCGCGCGAGUGAUGAAGGCCUUAGGGUUGUAAAGCUCUUUUGUCCGGGACGAUAAUGACGGUACCGGAAGAAUAAGCCCCGGCUAACUUCGUG